GUUCAGGAGGAAUUAGAUUUCUGGCCUGAGAAAAACCUUCGUGAAAGAAAAUGGAUGAGUGUGGCAGAUGCAAAGGAAUGCUGUCAACAUUGGUGGAUGAAGGAAGCCUUAGAUAGAUUAGUUAAUCGACUCAGGUCUCAGAAACAACUUGAAGAGGAAGAAUUAGCAUCUUGUAUUUUAAGCUUUCAGAGCAAAUCCAACUUGUAAAUAGGCAGAAUUGUUGAUGAACACAGCCAUAGGUGGCUUUUAGAAUUUAGACCAGGCGAAGUGCAAAGGCUAGUGGGAAUUGAAAUGAACAAGAAAGGGUCUCUUUGAUUUUCAUGCUAUCCCUUUCUUAGAAUUUCAAUUAUAAAUUCUUGUUAGGUAUAUUUUAGUGGGAACGCCGGAAAAAAAAAAGGAUCAAGAUAACAUUUGUACAACAUGGUUUCUAAAUGCAAAGAAUUUUGGAAGGG
rnacentral:misc_RNA from 1 species